rnacentral:rRNA from 1 species
AAUCUUCCACAAUGGACGGAAGGCAGAUGUAGCAACGCCGCGUGAGCGAAGAAGGUAUUCGGAUAGGAAAGCAAAGUUCUAAGGGAAGAACACGUACGGGAGUCACUGCCCGUACCUUGACUGUACCUUAUCAGCAAGUCACGGCUAACUCCGUGCCAUCAGCCGCGGUAACACGUAGCUGGCAAUCGUUGUCCGGAAUUAUAGGGCCUAACGCGCGCGCAGGCGGUCCUUUAAGUCUGAUGUGAAAGCCCACGGCUCAACCGUGGAGGGUCAUUGGAAACUGGAGGACUUGAGUACAGAAGAGGAAAGCGGAAUUCCACGUGUAGCGGUGAAAUGCGUAGAGAUGUGGAGGAACACCAGUGGCGAAGGCGGCUUUCUGGUCUGUAAAUGACGCUGAGGCGCGAAAGCGUGGGGAGCAAACA